rnacentral:rRNA from 1 species
UACGGAGGGAGCUAGCGUUGUUCGGAAUUACUGGGCGUAAAGCGCACGUAGGCGGCUAUUCAAGUCGGGGGGUGAAAGCCCGGGGCUCAACCCCGGAACUGCCCUCGAAACUAGAUAGCUAGAAUCUUGGAGAGGCGAGUGGAAUUCCGAGUGUAGAGGUGAAAUUCGUAGAUAUUCGGAAGAACACCAGUGGCGAAGGCGACUCGCUGGACAAGUAUUGACGCUGAGGUGCGAAAGCGUGGGGAGCAAACAGG